GCUGACGAGUGGCGCACGGGUGCGUAACGCGUAUACAAUCUGCCUUUAAGCGGGGAAUAGCCCAUGGAAACGUGGAUUAAUACCCCAUAGUAUGUAGACUUCACCUGAAGAUUACAUUAAACAUUUAUGGCUUAAAGAUGAGUAUGCGUCCUAUUAGUUAGUUGGUAAGGUAACGGCUUACCAAGACCGCGAUAGGUAGGGGUCCUGAGAGGGAGAUCCCCCACACUGGUACUGAGACACGGACCAGACUCCUACGGGAGGCAGCAGUGAGGAAUAUUGGACAAUGGAGGCAACUCUGAUCCAGCCAUGCCGCGUGCAGGAAGACUGCCCUAUGGGUUGUAAACUGCUUUUACAGAGGAAGAAACCUCCCCACGUGUGGGGAGCUGACGGUACUCUGCGAAUAAGGAUCGGCUAACUCCGUGCCAGCAGCCGCGGUAAUACGGAGGAUCCAAGCGUUAUCCGGAAUCAUUGGGUUUAAAGGGUCCGUAGGCGGGAUAAUAAGUCAGUGGUGAAAGUCUGCAGCUCAACUGUAGAAUUGCCAUUGAUACUGUUGUUCUUGAAUCAUUAUGAAGUGGUUGGAAUGAGUAGUGUAGCGGUGAAAUGCAUAGAUAUUA
rnacentral:rRNA from 1 species